UGGGCUCCCCAGAACCCUGGCUUCCAGCGCCCGCAACGAGCGCCGCCGCCGCCGCCGCCGAGGUUUCAGCACUGCAACUGCAGGGGUCGUUAUUUCCUCGCCUACGGAGCCCGACGCUGCCCGACGAGGAGGAGAGGAGAGCAGGAGGUGUGGCCCAGGGAUCUGCUCUCUGCCUUGACAGCCAAGGACUCCAGGUGAUCAACGCAUUAAAAAUCUAGGCCCAGAUGAAGAAAGCCCAGGAUUCUUAUUUCCAGAGCUCCAGGCUCAGCAGGAAAGAUAUUGAGACCUCGUACCAUUAAAAGAAUCUCAGGGAGGAAAUGACAUCAUGAAGAUGAGAUUUGAAGAACUCAAAUAGAAAUAAGAAGACAUGAGUCAAAGUUACUGCUCUGCCAUUUAGAGGUUAUGUGGGCAAGUUACUUAACUUUUCCAGCCUGAGUUUUAGUUGUUGCUUUGUUUUUUGACUCUGUAAUAUUUUUUUUCUUUCCUAUAAGAGGUGGAUUAACCUACCCUACUGGGCUGUUUUGAGGAAUAAAUGAUAUAAUACAUGCAAAGUGCCUGGUGUGGAGU